CGGGGUGAGUAAUGUCUGGGAAACUGCCUGAUGAGGGGGAUAACUGCUGGAAACGGUAGCUAAUACCGCAUAACGUCGCAAGACCAAAGAGGGGGACCUUCGGGCCUCUUGCCAUCGGAUGUGCCCAGAUGGGAUUAGCUAGUAGGUGGGGUAACGGCUCACCUAGGCGACGAUCCCUAGCUGGUCUGAGAGGAUGACCAGCCACACUGGAACUGAGACACGGUCCAG
rnacentral:rRNA from 1 species